rnacentral:rRNA from 1 species
UACGUUCCCGGGCCUUGUACACACCGCCCGUCACACCACGAAAGUCGGCAAUACCCGAAGCCGGUGGCCUAACCCGUAAGGGAGGGAGCCGUCUAAGGUAGGGUCGAUGAUUGGGGUG